GAUGAACGCUGGCGGCGUGCCUAAUACAUGCAAGUCGAGCGAACAGACGAGGAGCUUGCUCCUUCGACGUUAGCGGCGGACGGGUGAGUAACACGUAGGUAACCUACCUAUAAGACUGGGAUAACUUCGGGAAACCGGAGCUAAUACCGGAUAAUAUUUCGAACCGCAUGGUUCGAUAGUGAAAGAUGGCUUUGCUAUCACUUAUAGAUGGACCUGCGCCGUAUUAGCUAGUUGGUAAGGUAACGGCUUACCAAGGCAACGAUACGUAGCCGACCUGAGAGGGGGAUAGGCCACAUGGGAACUGAGACACGGUCCAGACUCCUAAGGGAGGCAGCAGUAGGGAAUCUGACGCAAUGGGCGAAAGCCUGACGGAGCAACGCCGCGUGAGUGAUGAAGGUCUUCGGAUCGUAAAACUCGGUUAUUAGGGAAGAACAAACGUGUAAGUAAAUGUGCACGUAUUGACGGUACCUAAUCAGAAAGCCACGGCUAACUACGUG
rnacentral:rRNA from 1 species